GUUAAGAAUCUUGCGCAAUGGGCGGAAGCCUGACGCAGCGACGCCGCGUGAGCGACGAAGGCCCUUUGGGUUGUAAAGCUCAUUAGACAGGGGAGAUAAUGACGGUACCUGUUGAAAGCCCCGGCUAAUUACGUGCCAGCAGCCGCGGUAAUACGUAUGGGGCGAGCGUUGUUCGGAAUCAUUGGGCGUAAAGGGAGCGUAGGUGGGGCGUUAAGUCAGAUGUGAAAGUCCACAGCUCAACUGUGGGAUUGCAUUUGAAACUGACAUUCUCGAGUCUGGGAGAGGGAGACGGAAUUCCUGGUGUAGCGGUGAAAUGCGUAGAUAUCAGGAAGAACACCGGUGGCGAAGGCGGUCUCCUGGCCUAAGACUGACGCUGAGGCUCGAAAGCAUGGGGAGCAAACAGGAUUAGAAACCCCGGUAGUCC
rnacentral:rRNA from 1 species